UACGGAGGGUGCGAGCGUUGUCCGGAAUCACUGGGCGUAAAGGGCGCGUAGGCGGCGCGGGGAGUCAACGGUGAAAGCUCGGCGCUCAACGCCGAGUCGGCCGUCGAUACUCCCGUGCUCGAGCACUGUAGAGGCAGGUGGAAUUCCGGGUGUAGCGGUGGAAUGCGUAGAGAUCCGGAAGAACACCGGUGGCGAAGGCGGCCUGCUGGGCAGUAGCUGACGCUGAGGCGCGACAGCGUGGGGAUCAAACAGG
rnacentral:rRNA from 1 species